rnacentral:rRNA from 1 species
UUUAUUAGAAGAGACGCAUUUAUUAGAUAAAAAGCCAGUUCAUGCUUUUACAGUAUGAAAAUUGGUGAUUUAUAAUAACUURGCAAAUCGCAAAGUGAAAACAGGCGAUAAAUCAUUCAAGUUUCUGACCUAUCAGCUUUCGACGGUAUGGUAUUGGCUUACCGUGGCAGUGACGGUUAACGGGGGAUUAGGGUUCGAUUCCGGAGAGGGAGCCUGAGAAACGGCUACCACAUCUAAGGAAGGCAGCAGGCGCGCAAAUUACCCAAUUCUAACAGUUUGAGAGAGGUAGUAACAAGAAAUAACAAUACAAGGCARUUAAAAUGCUUUGUAAUUGGAAUGAUAGAAAUUUAAACCCUUUUUAAAGUAUCAAUUGGAGGGCAAGUCUGGUGCCAGCAGCCGCGGUAAUUCCAGCUCCAAUAGCGUAUAUUAAAAUUGUUGCAGUUAAAAAGCUCGUAGUUGAAGUUCUGCURAAAGUAACCGGUCUGCUUUUAAUAAAAGUGGUAUCUUGGURUGUAUUUAGCAAUGAUGUCCUUUGAAGUGUUUUUUACUUUAUUGUAAUAAAGCAUAUUCAGGACUUUUACUUUGAGAAAAUUAGAGUGUUUCUAGCAGGCYRACGCUUUGAAUA